UGGGGAAUAUUGCACAAUGGGCGCAAGCCUGAUGCAGCCAUGCCGCGUGUAUGAAGAAGGCCUUCGGGUUGUAAAGUACUUUCAGCGAGGAGGAAGGCGUUGUGGUUAAUAACCGCAGCGAUUGACGUUACUCGCAGAAGAAGCACCGGCUAACUCCGUGCCAGCAGCCGCGGUAAUACGGAGGGUGCAAGAGUUAAUCGGAAUUACUGGGCGUAAAGCGCACGCAGGCGGUCUGUCAAGUCGGAUGUGAAAUCCCCGGGCUCAACCUGGGAACUGCAUCCGAAACUGGCAGGCUAGAGUCUUGUAGAGGGGGGUAGAAUUCCAGGUGUAGCGGUGAAAUGCGUAGAGAUCUGGAGGAAUACCGGUGGCGAAGGCGGCCCCCUGGACAAAGACUGACGCUCAGGUGCGAAAGCGUGGGGAGCAAACA
rnacentral:rRNA from 1 species